rnacentral:lncRNA from 1 species
GAUAAUUAGGAUUCUCGUUUCAAUUACUGGUUUAAGAAAAAUAUUAGCAGAUGUAAACAAAGCUGGAAACGAUCUCACAAACAAUGGCACCGUAGACCAUCAGAAGAACCUGUUGACAACAAGGGUUCUUUCAAUAAGACUGAUUUUGGCAACGAUAAUAAUCAAAUAAUUUAUUAAAGGUGAAAUUAUUCCUGAAAUUGGUGACGAAGUAUAUUUUCUAGUAAAUAUGCUUUUUGCUUCACAGGGAUAACAUAUCGACUUUGCAAAAUGAAAGUUCUAAGUUCAGGAGAGCUUAGUUCCUCCCAAAUCUUCUCGUUAACUAAAAAUAGAAUAUAAAUUCUAAAUGAGUCUUCUCUACAAAAUUUGCUUUAUACAAAUCCUAUCUCAGAUUCUGUUCAAGUGAGUAGUGAUAUCAAUAAAGACAUCUUCUCUGCAGGGAAGUGUUAGGCCACCAGUUGGAUGAUCAAACCCGAAUUCUUCUUCAGCUUGAUUUAACAAGUCUUGAAAUGAAGGGUGGUUCAGGUAAGAGAUGGGAACGACAAAUUUUCUUCUUUCACCCCCAACAUAAACAGAAAAAUUUUCUUCUUUCACCCCCAACAUAAAUAGAAAAAUAUCCCUUUGGAACAUCUGAAGACUGUCGAAAAAAUUGCUUAGCAUGAAUAAUACGAGGCAUACGGAUGGCCAUGGCUCUUGAAAGGGCUUAAAGAAACAAGAGAAAACUUGAACUUGCUAGAAUCUGUGUUGUCUGUGUUUUCAGUUUCUCAGUUUUGCGUUCAUAUAUAUAGAUGAUUAGAUUUAUCUUAAACUCUUCAGCAGGAGAUUUUUUGGCGAAGAGUAUUUGGG